CCAUGCACACAAGGUCAAAAACUUAAGAAUCGUCAUCCUAAGAAGAUCCUUCGAAACAAGCAAGUAGGCUACCUAAGAAGGAGACCCAUUCUACCAGAGGGAUAUCAAAUUUUAAAGAAGAAAUGGUGGAAGGGAUUGGUGGGACAUCCACAUGAUCGGGGAAGGCACUGACAUUAAGAGAAAAAUGGCAAAUUUCAAGUGAAAAUACAUAAAAAGCUGGGAAAUUCGAAAUUGCUGGGACGUCGAUCAAUAACAUCUCAAGUCGAUCGAGCGCAUUUUUCCCAAUGUCGAUCGGCAUCUCAAGUCGAUCGAGCGAUUUUGCCCGACGUCGAUCGAUCGCAUCUAAAAUUGAUCAAUUUUGUACUAACCUGGAUUCGCAGAAACCCUAGCUAACUCUAUAAAUACCAUUCUUUUCUAAUUUUUUGAUGGGGAGGCCACUUAGAGAGCGCCCUAGCUAGGUGCCGUUUUCUCUGUUUUUUAGGGUUCUUGGGUGAUUUUCACCUAGAACUUCCAUAUUUUGUAAGUUCAUUUGAUUUUUAAUGGAUUCUUGUUGUUUAUUUA